rnacentral:rRNA from 1 species
CAGUAGCCGCGGUAAUACGUAGGGUGCGAGCGUUAAUCGGAAUUACUGGGCGUAAAGCGUGCGCAGGCGGUUGUGUAAGACAGGUGUGAAAUCCCCGGGCUUAACCUGGGAACUGCGCGUGUGACUGCACAGCUAGAGUAUGGCAGAGGGGGGUGGAAUUCCACGUGUAGCGGUGAAAUGCGUAGAGGUGUGGAGGAACACCGAUGGCGAAGGCAGCCCCCUGGGCCAAUACUGACGCUCAUGCACGAAAGCGUGGGGAGCAAACAGGAUUAGAGACCCCAGUAGUCCCUGUCUCUUAUAC